GGUUUGGAGGAUUUUGUUGUGUGGAAGAAUUGGGGGAACAUAUAUUAAGUGUUUUUUAAAAUUCAUUUUUAACACAUAUAAAGUGUUUUUAUAUGAAAAGAAGUUAUAAAUCUCUUAAGAUAUUUUUAAAAAUAUCUUCCUUGUUUUUUUGCACCGCUUUUAAAACCUAAAUCCAACGUAGUGAAAGAAAUGAGAUAAGAAAAAAGAUCUUUUUAACAUAAAAAAUAAUAUAUUAAAUAUAAGAAAGG
rnacentral:lncRNA from 1 species